GACGAACGCUGGCGGCGUGCUUAACACAUGCAAGUCGAACGGUGAAGCCCUUCGGGGUGGAUCAGUGGCGAACGGGUGAGUAACACGUGGGCAAUCUGCCCUGCACUCUGGGACAAGCCCUGGAAACGGGGUCUAAUACCGGAUAUGACCUGCUCCCGCAUGGGGGUGGGUGGAAAGCUCCGGCGGUGCAGGAUGAGCCCGCGGCCUAUCAGCUUGUUGGUGGGGUGAUGGCCUACCAAGGCGACGACGGGUAGCCGGCCUGAGAGGGCGACCGGCCACACUGGGACUGAGGCACGGCCCAGACUCCUACGGGAGGCAGCAGUGGGGAAUAUUGCACAAUGGGCGCAAGCCUGAUGCAGCGACGCCGCGUGAGGGAUGACGGCCUUCGGGUUGUAAACCUCUUUCAGCAGGGAAGAAGCGCAAGUGACGGUACCUGCAGAAGAAGCACCGGCUAACUACGUGCCAGCCGCCGCGUAACAC
rnacentral:rRNA from 1 species